rnacentral:lncRNA from 1 species
UCAAGAAUCAAUCUUAGGCUAGUAUCUUGAUCACUAACACUAGGAGAUCGAAAGAAAUUUUUGGUGAAUUGAUGAAGGUGAUGUGGGUGGAUCAUCAAGUGGGCAAGGUGGAACGGAUACCCGCUUAAGGGAAAGCUUUGAAAAAGGUUGCUCAUGGAAUGCGUUGGAUGUGGAUCAAGCGAGAACAAGGACCGAACACACAACUUACAAAAGAUUCCGCUAAUA